rnacentral:tRNA from 1 species
AGUCUUAUAUUCAAAAAUGAUUUUAAAUUGCAAAUUUAAAGGUAAGUUAAACUUUAAGGCUU